GCAUCUUGUAUCUUUUAAAGACCUAGUUAAUAGGUAUGCUUUAGGAGGGGCUUGCGCCAUAUUAGUUAGUUGGUAGGGUAAUGGCCUACCAAGACGAUGAUGUGUAGCUGGACUGAGAGGUUGAACAGCCACAUUGGGACUGAGACACGGCCCAAACUCCUACGGGAGGCAGCAGUAGGGAAUUUUCGGCAAUGGAGGAAACUCUGACCGAGCAACGCCGCGUGAAUGACGAAGUACUUCGGGUAUGUAAAGUUCUUUUAUCGAGGAAGAAAAGCAAAUGGCGAACCAUUUGUUUGCCGGUACUUGAUGAAUAAGCCCCGGCUAAUUAUGUGCCAGCAGCCGCGGUAAGACAUAAGGGGCAAGUGUUAUCCGGAAUUAUUGGGCGUAAAGGGUGCGUAGGCGGUCUAGUAAGUCAGUGGUGUAAUGUCAACGCUUAACGUUGUCCGGCUAUUGAAACUGCUAAACUUGAGUUAGAUAGAGGCGAGUGGAAUUCCAUGUGUAGCGGUAAAAUGCGUAAAUAUAUGGAGGAACACCAGAGGCGUAGGCGGCUCGCUGGGUCUUAACUGACGCUGAGGCACGAAAGCGUGGGGAGCAAACAGGAUUAGAUACCCUGGUAGUCCACGCCGUAAACGAUGAGUACUAAGUGUCGGGUUAAACCGGUACUGAAGUUAACACAUUAAGUACUCCGCCUGAGUAGUACGUACGCAAGUAUGAAACUUAAAGGAAUUGACGGGGCUCCGCACAAGCGGUGGAUCAUGUUGUUUAAUUCGAAGAUACCCGAAAAACCUUACCAGGUCUUGACAUGUUUUUGCAAAAUGAUAGUAAUAUCGUGGAGGUUACCAGAAACACAGGUGGUGCAUGGUUGUCGUCAGCUCGUGUCGUGAGAUGUUAGGUUAAGUCCUAAAACGAGCGAAACCCUUAUCGUUAGUUGCCAGCACGUUAUGGUGGGGACUUUAACGAGACUGCCAAUGAUAAAUUGGAGGAAGGUGAGGAUCACGUCAAAUCAGCAUGCCCCUUAUGACCUGGGCUACAAACGUGAUACAAUGGCUGUUACAAAGGGUAGCUGAAACGCAAGUUCUUGGCCAAUCCCCAAAAACAGUCCCAGUCCGGAUUGAAGUCUGCAACUCGACUUCAUGAAGUUGGAAUCGCUAGUAAGCGUUGAGC
rnacentral:rRNA from 1 species